AUGCCGCCCGCACAAGUAAAGCAAAGAAUCAACCGAGCAACCCUAGCAGCUUGCACUACCCUCGGCAACAACCAAGAACAAUCCAAGCACGGAAACUCUCGAGUCUCAGCUACGAAAAUCUCUCCUCCUGUCGCCGACGCCGGGCUGCUGUGCCGCGGCAAGAUGAAGGAAAGAGGCGAAUUUGCUGGAUCGGGGCAAGACCAGGAGACACGAUCGUGGGUGCGGGCGGCGCAGGUGCCUCCCCUGGCGUCGACUGAAUUGGGGAACGAGGGAGGAGGGAUCAGGGGAGGGAGGAGGCAGAGAGGUAGGUGGGAGGGUAGGAGGUAG
rnacentral:rRNA from 1 species